AUAUAAGUUUUAAAUAAUAUUUGAGAACCAAAACUCAAUAUUGUAUUUACUAGUAAAAUUUUAAUUUUGAAGACAAAUUUCCAAGGUUCUGAAAACCGAAUCGGUCAUCAAACCGUUCUAGCUAUUGGUUUAUUGGUUUAUAAAUUUAACCGAUUUGACCGUAAUGAAACCGAAAAAACCGUUUUAUAAUAAAAUAAUAAAUAUAAAUAAACUGAUAUCAUAUACAUGCAGGCAAACUCAACAAUUAUAUUGAAUUAGGGGAAGUAUAAGGUAUAGAGUGAAUAAUUCAACCAUCAAUAAAACAAGCAAAUUCACAACAAUUAAGAAGGAAGAUUGAAUUAGUGAGAGGGUGAGCUUCUUGCAGCAGUUCAGUUAUUAUAGCAGAUAAAUCAUCAGAAAACAACUGAUAUUGUUUAGAUAUUUAAAGCAACAUGUUGUGCAACAACUAGAAAAGAGAGAAGAACAAGUAAUUGAGGAGGAACAACAGCAGGCAACGGUGGUGGCACCACGAGAGAAAAAGGAACCACCGGCUACUGUGUUGGCAGAAUCUGUGGAAACGGAAACAGAGCAGGCACUAGUGGUGAUAACUGAUAAGAAUAGAGGAAAUGGAACCACAGCAGACAUUAGUAGUUAGUGGGAAAAAAACUAAGUGGAAAAUAAUGGUGUGCUUGCUUAUCUACUGCAUUAGCCAAACAAAAAUAAUUAAGCAGCACUUUCUUGAUUAUCCCUGACCCUAUUUUGUAGUCAAUUAGAUGCACAAAGAGAAUUGAAGUUAGUCCACAAGUUGGAACAUGAAGCCAUAUUUUUUUUUCCUUUGCUCUCUCCCUCCCUCUCCUCUCCCUCGUCUUUCAAACACAUCUUAUUUUGGAUGAUGUAUGAUGUAUUAUAGUAGUGUAUCAAUUGUUAGAAAGUAGAGACCCAAGAUACAUAAAUAGAAUAACUUUUA